AUGGCAUCUUAUUUUAGAGAGCAUGACUGCGAGCCAUUGAACCCUGAGCAUGGGGCCUGCAACAAUAUGUUGCUGGAACUAGCGAGAAGAGUGCCCCCCCCACCUCCCCGCAGCAGAUCACUCUUUAAUAGGAUGGACUUUGACGACAUGGGAUUGGUAGAUUAGAAACACCACCUUCCCCCACCAGCUGCCAAGGCUGUGGUGGAGAGCCUCCCGAGAACAGUCAUCGGUAGCUCCAAGGCUGAUCUCAAGUGCCCCGUGUGUCUUUUGGAAUUUGAGGAGGAGGAGACUGUCAUUGAGAUGCCCUGCCAUCAUCUCUUCCAUUCCAACUGCAUUCUGUCCUGGCUAAGUAAGACAAAUUCCUGCCCUUGGUGCUGCCAUGAGCUGCCCACUGAUGACGACAGUUAUGAAGAGCACAAGAAAGACAAGGCUCGGAGGCGGCAGCAGCACCGCCUGGAGAAACUCCAUGGACUUGUACACAUGAGGCAGCAGCUAGGGCUGCGAGCUCCGCCUCUGUGA